UAUCUCUUAGAGUCUGCAUAUCAAUAAGCGGAGGAAAAGAAACUAACUAGGAUUCCCUCAGUAACGGCGAGUGAAGCGGGAGGAGCUCAAAUUUGAAUCUUCAAGGUUCUACCUUGACGAAUUGUAGUUUAAAGAAGUGUUUUCUGUUGGAGUUUUGGUAAAAGUUCUUUGGAAUAGGACAUCAUAGAGGGUGAGAAUCCCGUAUUUGACCAUUAUUUCCAGCUUUGUGAUACACUUUCAAAGAGUCGGAUUGUUUGGGAAUGCAGUCCAAAAUGGGUGGUAAAUUUCAUCUAAAGCUAAAUACUGGCGAGAGACCGAUAGCGAACAAGUACCGUGAGGGAAAGAUGAAAAGAACUUUGAAAAGAGAGUUAAACAGUACGUGAAAUUGUCAAAAGGGAAGCGUUUGACACCGGUGUUGUUUUCUCGAAAAUCAAUUAAAAAAGGCAGGAUUUUGUGUUGUAUUGACUUUAUCAGCUUUCUGCACUCUUUUCUUGUCUUUUUUUAAUGCACUUUUCGUUUAACAAGUCAACAUCAAUUUCUUUUGUUGUAAAGGGUCAUUGGAAGGUGGCUUUCUUUUCGGAGAAAGUGUUUAUAGCCUUUGGCCUCUGCAAUCGGAGAGAUUGAGGUCUGCAGCGUAGAUCCUUCGGGGUUAGAUACAUUUGUGCUAAGUUAUAGCCUUUCAUAGACAACUUGUUGACUAUGAUCAGUCAUGUAGCUUACUCGCUUAUGCUAUUUUACCUACGCUUAGGAUGUUGAAGAUGUAGCACAUCAU
rnacentral:rRNA from 1 species